rnacentral:rRNA from 1 species
AUUGAACGCUGGCGGCAUGCUUUACACAUGCAAGUCGAACGGUAACAGGUUAAGCUGACGAGUGGCGAACGGGUGAGUAAUGCAUCGGAACGUGCCCGAUCGUGGGGGAUAACGCAGCGAAAGCUGCGCUAAUACCGCAUCCGAUCUGAGGAUGAAAGCGGGGGACCGUAAGGCCUCGCGCGAUCGGAGCGGCCGAUGUCAGAUUAGGUAGUUGGUGGGGUAAAGGCUCACCAAGCCAACGAUCUGUAGCUGGUCUGAGAGGGCGACCAGCCACACUGGGACUGAGACACGGCCCAGAAUCCUACGGGAGGCAGCAGUGGGGAAUUUUGCACAAUGGGCGAAAGCCUGAUCCAGCAAUGCCGCGUGCAGGAAGAAGGCCUUCGGGUUGUAAACUGCUUUUGUACGGGGCGAAAAGGCUCUCUCUAAUACAGGGGGCUCAUGACGGUACCGUAAGAAUAAGCACCGGCUAACUACGUGCCAGCAGCCGCGGUAA